rnacentral:rRNA from 1 species
CUCAGGGAGGUAGUGACAAGAAAUAACAACACUGGAAAUUUUAUUUCUAGUGAUUGGAAUGAUGGGAAUUUAAACCCCUUUCAGAGUAACAAUUGGAGGGCAAGUCUGGUGCCAGCAGCCGCGGUAAUUCCAGCUCCAAUAGCGUAUAUUAAAGUUGUUGCAGUUAAAAAGCUCGUAGUUGGAUGUCUGCUGGAAGCAAUCAGUCCGCCCUAUUUGUAGGGUGUGCACUUGAUGAAUUCUGGCAUCUAUGUCCUAAUGUGAUAGAUACGGCGGUGUAUAUGGGUUAAUCCUAUAUACCCGUUUUUGUAUAUUAUAUUGGGAUAAUACCGUUACUUUGAGAAAAUUAGAGUGUUCGAAGCAGGCUAAUUGCCUUGAAUACUGCAGCAUGGAAUAACAAUAUAGGAUUUCGGUUCUAUUUUGUUGGUUUCUAGGACUGAAAUAAUGAUUAAUAGGGACAGUUGGGGGCAUUCGUAUUUAACUGUCAGAGGUGAAAUUCUUAGAUUUGUUAAAGACGAACUACUGCGAAAGCAUUUACCAAAGAUGUUUUCAUUAAUCAAGAACGAAAGUUAGGGGCUCGAAGACGAUCAGAUACCGUCGUAGUCUUAACCAUAAACUAUGCCGACUAGAGAUAGGAAAAUGUCAUUUUUCUGACUU